rnacentral:rRNA from 1 species
CCUACGGGCGGCUGCAGCAGGGAAUCUUGCGCAAUGGGCGAAAGCCUGACGCAGCAACGCCGCGUGGGGGAUGAAGGCCUUCGGGUUGUAAACCCCUUUCAGUAGGGACGAAAUCAGACGGUACCUACAGAAGAAGCCCCGGCCAACUACGUGCCAGCAGCCGCGGUGACACGUAGGGGGCAAGCGUUGUCCGGAUUUAUUGGGCGUAAAGGGCUCGUAGGCGGUUCGACAAGUCGGGUGUGAAACCUCCAGGCUCAACCUGGAGACGCCGCUCG